CAUUUAUCUUCAACGUCAUCUACCUUAUCUCCUUUAUUCAAUUUUCUGGUAAAUUCUCUCACGUCUCCUACUCCUCAUCAAUAUGCAAGUGUUUCUUUUCUUUGUUUAUCUUGAGCCCGAGUGAUCCAUGGAAAAUUCCAUCACAUGAUUUUAUGUGGCUUCUAAGCACUCUCGUCUCAUGCUCCAUCCACAUAAACGGACACACAUUUUCCUGCUCGAUUCUUCCCUGACAGUCUCCAGGAGCCGUAUGUCUUCAUCCUUCCCUGCUCCCUCAUGUUGGCCCACGCCGCUUAGCUCCCGGAAGCCUUCUCCUAUGCGUCUCUUCUCUUUGAAAUAUCUCACGUCGUGGAUGCUCUGAUUCUUCUUGAAUCUUAUCCUUCCACCGCCGGACCGCCCCUGACUCCUUUUUAUGCGCGCCGGCUGCUCAUCCCUGGCUUGCUGCGCCCAUGGCCGAGCGGCUCCCAUGGCGAGCUCGCCGGGAUGCCCCUGCUCCAGCUUCCUCCCUGCUCGGCCAGACCAUCGGCCUCCCUCUGCUUGGAGCUCGUCGCCAUGGUCGUUGCCUUUUCCCUGCUCGCGUCCUGUGCGCGUCCUUUAGCCCUUGCUCCUCUGGCUCGGCGCCCAUCUCCAUGGCUCCCUGCGUGUCCAUUCGUCACGCUCUCCUGCUCCCUGUUCCCCUUGCGUCCCCUGGAUCCUUCUCUGCGCCCGUGUCACCGUCCGCCGUCGAUCCCCUCGCGCAGGCCAUGAGCUGUCUGUUCGCCAUAGUCGAGCCGUUCUCAGUUGCUCGCCGCCGAAGCUCCCCUGAUAGCUGCGUCCUGCUCGCCUUUGCGUCGCGCGCAUAGCGUUAUGUUAUUCUUGCGCGCGCGAAGCUCUUUGCUCGUCAACGCUCCAGCCCGGAUUUCGCUUUGUCGCCCAGCUCGGCUCUACAUCUCCCAUGGCUGUCUGCUCUAGCUCGCCGUGUCCUUCGUAAAUAUUUUCGCCUAGCUGCACGGACCUCACCGUUGUCUUGGUCGUCGAUGCCACGCAACUAUCCACACGUGGUUGUCUUCACGGACACCGCUUCACACUAUCACUCUGUCUUCACCAUCCGUAGUGUCAUCGUCGGGAUGUCCUAGCUGCAACACCAGCGCCCUCGAUCGUACCCAAAGCUCUAUAUUGGAUUUGUCAGCGUGCUACUCGUCCGCUGGUUCCUCGACUUUAUCGAUCUCGUCGUCGUUCGUGCAUCCCCAAGAAAUCCCAAACGUCGAGUGAAGACGAAGCUAGCCGAGUGGUAUUCCCCAAGCGCUCGACAUAUUGCCUGGAUCGGAAAAUCACUACCAAUCUCGCGGAUUCGUGUCAGCUAUGGAAACAGUACGUGAAUUAACCACGUGAUGCGAAAGACAAGCCAAGUCGACCCCAAGCACGGGCUAAUCCGCAAGAUGAAGCUGAUGGACCAACUUGAAGAUGGUUAAAUCAAUCAAGUGCUCGAUCGAGGGAUACUCGUCAAGUGGUCGUCGCCUAACAACACUAACCUAGUGUUACCCAGUGUAAUACCCAAAAAUGUAUUCAAAGAAAGUAGAGUUGAUCUCCUUAAAUGUUAU